AUUGAACGCUGGCGGCGUGCUUAACACAUGCAAGUCGAGCGGUAAGGCCCUUUCGGGGGUACACGAGCGGCGAACGGGUGAGUAACACGUGGGUGACCUGCCCUCAGCUCUGGGAUAAGCCUGGGAAACCGGGUCUAAUACUGGAUAUGACUCCAUGACGCAUGUUGUGGGGUGGAAAGCCUUGUGCGGCUGAGGAUGGGCCCGCGGCCUAUUCAGCUUGUUGGUGGGGNGAUGGCCUACCAAGGCGACGACGGGUAGCCGGCCUGAGAGGGCGACCGGCCACACUGGGACUGAGACACGGCCCAGACUCCUACGGGAGGCAGCAGUGGGGAAUCUUGCGCAAUGGGCGAAAGCCUGACGCAGCGACGCCGCGUGAGGGAUGACGGCCUGGU
rnacentral:rRNA from 1 species